rnacentral:rRNA from 1 species
CUACGGGCCGCUGCAGUGGGGAAUAUUGGACAAUGGGGGAAACCCUGAUCCAGCGAUGCCGCGUAUGUGAAGAAGGCCUGAGGGUUGUAAAGCAUUUUUGAUGGGGAAGAAGGGCUUAAGUCGAAUAAACUUAAGACUUGACGGUACCCAUAGAAUAAGUACCGGCAAACUCUGUGCCAGCAGCCGCGGUAAUACAGAGGGUACGAGCGUUAAUCGGAAUGACUGGGCGUAAAAGGCGUGUAGGCGGAUAUUCAAGUGAGAUGUGAAAUACUCGGGCUCAACCUGGGGGCGGCAUCUCAGACUGGAUAUCUAGAGAACAGUAGAGGGUAGUGGAAUUUCCGGUGUAGCGGUGAAAUGCGUAGAUAUCGGAAGGAACACCAGUGGCGAAGGCGGCUACCUGGACUGUGACUGACGCUGAGGCGCGAAAGCGUGGGGAGCGAACAGGAUUAGAUACCCUUGUAGUC